rnacentral:piRNA from 1 species
UUAAAUUUUUAUAUUUCUUUGACUUCCCCUA